GACGAACGCUGGCGGCGUGCCUAACACAUGCAAGUCGAACGAGGUCCAUGAGAGCUUGCUCUCGGACGACCUAGUGGCGAACGGGUGAGUAACACGUGAGAAACCUGCCUCGGAGUGGGGAAUAACUCGGGGAAACUCGAGCUAAUACCGCAUACCUUCAGAUGAUCGCAUGGUCGACUGAAGAAAGAAUUUCGCUCUGAGAGGGUCUCGCGGCCUAUCAGCUAGUUGGUGGGGUAACGGCCCACCAAGGCAACGACGGGUAGCUGGAUUGAGAGAUCGAUCAGCCACAGUGGGACUGAGACGCGGCCCAGACUCCUACGGGAGGCAGCAGUGGGGAAUCUUGCGCAAUGGGCGAAAGCCUGACGCAGCAACGCCGCGUGCGGGAUGACGGCCUUCGUGGUUGUAAACCGCUUUCAGCAGGGACGAAAUUGACGGUACCUGCAGAAGAAGCCCCGGCUAACUACGUGCCAGCCGCCGCAGUAAUAC
rnacentral:rRNA from 1 species